GUUGUUUUUUUAGAACAGUGAACUGAUAUAUAUAUAUAUGGCAACAAUGUUUACUUUCUGUUUCUUUACUUUUGCUGCCCUGUAAUGUAUACACCACACAAGUGUGUCUUAAUAAUGCAUUAGCAGCUGUCUUCCUGCUCAGCCCUGGAUGAAGUCUAGACAAAACUAGACACAGCCUCCGGGGGAGUGUGUUAUACAACCAUCUAGUUUUAAGCACAGCCACAGCCAACUACCACUGCCUAGGGGCUGACUAGAUUGUGUGUGUGUGCGCCGGAGAGGGAAUGAGAGAUAGAGAUUGUCAGCAUGAGCGUACAUGCUGGUACAGCACAAGGUCCCCACCCAGUCUGUGAUGAUGGCAGGGGGCAGGACUCGGUCUGCCAGCGCUGGCUGCCUGCGAAGGUCAUGUAGAAGACACCACUGGUGUAUAAAUCAGGUCAAAGCCUCCAGUUGCGGCCUGCAGGAGAGCAUGUUGUUAGAAGAACGCAGCAGGCAGCAGGAGAUGAGAUUGGCCUCGCUCUCAUGUGUGAGAACAAGCUCAAAUGUAAACCUUCAGCUACUGCACUUAUAUAUUAGGCCAGUAUUGGCCUGAAAAGAUAUCUGCUUUUAACAGUGUCUGCCUAUAGAGGCCAAGAGCAGCUGUGGUUGCUAAUAAUUGAAAUUUUAUUAAUUAUCAAGAUCAUUUUCCCUUCCAAUUAUAUAUUAUAUCAAAGUAAUGAUCAUAUUAUCUUGUUAGGAGUCAAAAAGUACAGCAGACUGUUAUGUUGCCGCAGUUUCACCAUCUUUCACCAUCAACAUAUAUAUUUUUACUCAGGAGUUGAUGUAGAAUAAACCAGAGCUGUAAGUGGUCACAGGCAGUGUAAAAAUGCUAAUUACUCACCUGGUAGAGCUGGUGCCCCAUGUACCAAGGCUGAGUCCUUGCUGCAGCGGUCAUUGGUUUGAGUCUAUCUUCAGCUGUGCUAUCCAAUAAAGGCAAAAAGGACUUGAACAGUGAUAUCUGUUGAGCCUUAGUCUGAACAUUAGUCUAAUGCCUGACAGUCCAAAAGCUGCCAAAGCUUCACAGGGGUUGUGAGGCUUAAUUGACUUUAAGGGUGUAAGAAAACACCCUAAACACAGUCUGCCGUUUUUCAUUUCUGUGAAAAAAACUAAAGGAAUUUGUUAUUUUUAAAGUUUAGAUUAUUUAAGAUCUAAACUUUGAAGACCUGAACACAAGCUAGAUUCUCAGAGCCUUGUUCUGCAUUAGAAAAGUAUGCAGUCAAAACAACCAAAGAGCUAAUAGCUAACAAUGGACCCAUGUAAGGAAAAAAAGAAGUACAUACUCUGUAAAACCUGUUGAGUUAUUUCAACUCAUACUGUUUGAGGAAACCGAUUGCUUUAAACAUUAACAAUUUAAGCAUGAAAGAAAUUUGAUUUGCGUAGAAGUAACUCAAGUGUUUAUUGUCAAGGUAACUUGGGUAAAUUGAGUUAAUUGUGGCAAUUGCAUUCAGUUCAUUGAAGUUAUACGCAUAUGCAGUAACUAAUUUAAAAUGUUUGAACAGAAUUUUUAGUUGAAUUUACUCAGUUUUCUUCCAAUAAAGCAAAUUAUUACAUUACCUGUCAAAACAGCUGGCAUACGCUAAAUACAAUUUAUAAUAAAUGUAUUAUUUCAAAAUGGUUGCCAAUUAAUUUUCUAUGUUUUUUUAUGUGACUAACAUAAAAUCUUUACACUUUGGGAAAUCAUUAAAAAUUAUUUGGAUGCAUACUGAUGAUUAAUAAACUGAAAUUAAAAUAAAAAUUCUGUUUUUUGAAAAGUGUGUUGGACAUAUAGAAUGACUUGAGUGUAUUAUUACUGUAUGUGUGUGGCAAAUCUGUCAUUGACAGUAGAGAUGUUAAAAUAUGCCUGG
ensembl:lncRNA